rnacentral:misc_RNA from 1 species
GAUGAAGAACGUAGCGAAAUGCGAUAAGUAAUGUGAAUUGCAGAAUUCAGUGAAUCAUCGAAUCUUUGAACGCACAUUGCGCCCGCCAGUAUUCUGGCGGGCAUGCCUGUUCGAGCGUCAUUUCAACCAUCAAGCCCCCGGCUUGUGUUGGGGACCUGCGGCUGCCCGCAGGCCCUGAAAACCAGUGGCGGGCUCGCUGUCACUCCGAGCGUAGUAGCAUAUAUCUCGCUCAGGGCGUGCUGCGGGUUCCGGCCGUUAAAAGCCUUUUUUUACCCAAGGUUGACCUCGGAUCAGGUAGGAAGACCCGCUGAACUUAAGCAUAUCAAUAAGCGGAGGA